GUCAAUGACAACAUCAUGGUGAAAACACCGCUUCUCUUCCAAUCACCAAAGUUAAGCAACCUAGAGAUUAGUGAGUACUUGGAUGGUUGACCACUUGGGAAUACGAAGUUUUGUAGUCU
rnacentral:rRNA from 1 species